CGGCGCCGCUCGCUACUUUUUUCUCGCCUCGCCGCCCCUCCCCCUCGGGGCGGAGGACGCGCUGGAUGUCCUGCCGCCCGGCUCAAGAUGGCGACGGCGGGCGCCCACCCCGGGGCUUUGUCAUUGGACGGCGCCCGCCCCCUCCUCGGGCUUCCCUUUCUUCUCCUCUCUCGCCUCCUUUCGCCCUCCGCCUUUCUUUCAAUGGGCCCGCCUCCGUCCCCGCCCACCGCGGCCCCGGCUCCUCCCAUUGGGUGCUCUCGGGAGGAGGGGCGGGGACUCGUGGAGGGGUGGGUGAUGGUGAUGGCCCUAGGAGGCCAGUCAACCAUUGGGUGGGUUGGUUAGGGUGGAAAGUGGGGUCCAUGAGUUCCAUGUUGGGGGUUGGGAGGAGUGGGUGUGCAGCCUUGGGGUGGGCUGGAGAAAUCUACCAGUCUGAAUAACAAAGGCUUGGGUCUGGAGCUAGAGAGAAUGGGCUUUCCACCAAUCCCUUCUCGGCCCCUUGGCAUCCUCAUGGUCUUGGCCUCUCUUGACCCCAUCUUUCUUUCUCAAGAGAACAGUAAACAUUCAGGCAUUUGUGGCAGCUUCCUUCUGGGGAGUGGAGCCAUCUUGGCAUGGUUAGGAGAUACCGGUCGUUGGGAAAGCAAAAACCUACUGUAUGGAACUAAGCAGUCUGUUCAAGUUGGACAAAGAGCAACGAGCGGAAACAAAGACAUUCUGCUUAAAGAAAAUAUUCUUGUUUUAAAUACAUGCGUUUAUCACAGUGCUAUUUCAUACUUCACUGGGUUUUAAAUCGCCCAUUUGGUCCACCAUUGCUAACCUUAAUGUAGGAUUCCAUAUAAUCACUAUCGAGAAGAGUACAUCCUUAAGAACCAGUUACCUUUUGUAUGUGGGAGGAGAGUAGUGGACAUUCCUCUUGUCAGUUUCUCUAUCCCCAUUGAACUCAUUGCCUAUUCCCAUAUUAGCCAUGGAAUGUGUACAGAAUGAAUGUAUAAAAUAGCACUGACUACUUGAAGUACAAAAAUUGCUUAGAACAAGAUAAUUAUAUAUUUUACAUGUAUAUUGCCAUUUUCUUUGAAGUCCUUUAAACUUCAUUAUUCCUCAUGCUAGGGAUCAAACCCAGAACCUCACACAUCCUCAGACAACAAGUAUUACUCCUCCGGUCUACAAGAUUUCUUUAAAAUGUUUAAGGUUUUAAUAAAAUAUGUCCUGGUAUUUAAACCUUCCUUCAGACAGCAUCUUAUUUUGCGGAAGACAAUGAAUACAGUGCAGAACUGUUGUUACUUGCAUACAGUUGAUCCUUUGAAUGUUUGAUCUGAGAGAUACCUGGUUCAGUCUUCAGAUGAGAAAGUUUAGACCACGGAGAUUCAUUAAUACAGCUUGCUAUUAGUAGGGCGGGUGCUUAGGUCUUUCUGUUCCUAAUCUAGAAAUCUUUAAAUGUUGCUGGUGGUUUUUCCACACUGUUCUCAUCUAACUCAAUAGAAAUGCUUUAUGCGUUUUCAGUGGAGUGGCCAGGGGCCAUAACUGUACCCCUGUUCAUACUUCUCACCCACAAAUAAACGGUUUUAAUCUGCCCUGUGGUGGGCAUGGAUAGUAUGUUUGUGCCACAUAACAUUUUGUUUAGUUUCAAUUAAAAAAAUAAAGAAGAAAUUUGCUUUUCUGUCACAAAGCCCAUACGCCACACAAUAGACUUACAGCAAAAAAAUAAAAAUUUUGGCCACGAAUGAGUUCUCCAUGUACCAAAACGAUGGUAACUUUAUAAGAGAAAAUCAUUUUCCUAGAAAAGCAUAACUUGGCUCUCAGAAUAAGAGCAUAGAGACAAUUACCAGCUUCCCAGCUCCUCAUAAGAGAAUUGUGUUGCAACCACUGUAUUAUAACUAGUUCUCAUAGUAAUUCUGAGAACACAUAAUAAUGUGAAAUUUGAAUGAUUUCUAUCGGAAUAUCGAUAGAAUACCAAUUUCUGUGUAGGUGGACACAGACAAUCACUCAGUAAGCUCGUAGACUGGGGAGAGAGAAUAGGAUAAAUUAGGAUACAAUUCAAGACUCAGGUGCCGCUAUGCUUUCCCUACUACGUUAAUCACAAACCCUUCAGGUCUUGAAAUACUAUGUGUACUAUGUAUCUACACAAACAUAUAAUUGAUCCAACUAAGAAAAUAUUUUUUCAGCAAAACUAUAAAAAAAUAAGAGAUAAAAUUUUUAAUAAGUUAUUGAGCAAUCAAGAGUUAAUUUUGUGAGCCAGUAAACAGAAUUUAGCUAAAACUAUGUCUGGGAUUUAGAACCAAAUAUGUUAAAUGGCUUAAAUUAUUUUACUCUUUUUAAUUUAUCUUAAUUUGAAUAUACAUAAACUUAUGUAAUUGAUUUCAAUUAACAAAAUGUGUUUUCAGCAAAAUGUAAAAAUUCUAAGGACAUACGGGUUUCAAUACGUUGUUGAUCAAUCAAGAGUUUAUUUUGUAAGGCAAUGGAAAUUAACUAAAACUAUUAGGAAAUUUAGGAACCAGUUUUGUGUUAAAUGGCUUAAAUUAAUUUUAUACUUUUUAAUUUGGCUCUGAGCUCUAAUUUUUCCUGCUUAUGCCCUGACCUACACUUCUUGGUUAACUCCAAUAGUCCUUGUACAAAUAUCUCCUUACCCUUUCUUCUUAGGUAAGUAAAGUUUACACAUAAUGGUAACAUAAUUCUAGUUCCCAAGACUCUAUAUGAUUUAUGGAAAGAUGACAAGUUAAGUUUUAAUAAUUGGUGAAUGAUAGUUUAUAAUCCUCAGUUUAUUUCUUUACCUCUCAGGAAUGAUGUUUUCUUUAUCUGACGAAUGACAGAUAAGAAUAAGACAAGUGUGUGCAUCUGUUUUCUACAUUAAUAAUUUAUGUCAUCAAAAUUGAAUCUAAAUGAAAUAAAGUCACUGGAGAAACUGACAAUAAAUGUAUUCUCUAGCUA